CAGAAAUGAGAGGUAAGGAAAAAAGAGGAAGUUUCCAUAGCACAGCUUCAGAUAGGGUGGGUCCUCUGGGAAUAAUCUGGAAAUCUAAACACUAGACCCACCUGGCGAGAGGACUCUCCUUUUCCUUAAUUUUUCCAUGGGGUGCCUAUCUUGGUCAUUUCCAAGAUGAAUUCGGUGUCUAAGACAGGCACCCCCAUGGAAAAAGGAAAAAACAAACCUCCUAAGGACAAACAAAACUGAUAGCCAAAUGUUAACAAAAUCAGAGGCAAGACCUAAUGCUCUUUCUGCGGUGGGACAGGCUGACAUAAUGGAAGUGAAGCCACAGGAGGGAUGGGACAGGUGAUCUGGCCUCCAGUCCUGGUUCUACCUGACAUAAGCUCUGGGCCUCAGUAGCCUCAUCUGUAUGCUGGGACUAGAUCAGAUGCCUUCAAAGGCCUCCAUCUGGCACCAACACUCGACACACAGACAAGAGCAGCAUGCACGCAGUAGCUUCUGGACGGCGUUCUUAGAUUCUCACGUGAUGGCAAACUCUCUUUAGAGUGAUGAUGGUACAGCCACCGGCAAACAAGCUUCAUUUUAAUGAGAUCCAAGACCCAAACACAGCCCCUUCCCGACAGCACGAGCACUCUCAUGAACUACGUAUCAGCCCGGUACAGGUCUGCAGUCUCCCCCUCUGCUGUGGUUUUGUUCUCUUGCCCAUGACGCAAGCCAGCUUUUUCUGCAGGCUUCUGAUCUCGACCCUGAUAGUAGCGGGGAAAUGUACUGCCAUGUCUCAGUCAAACCAAAUACCAAAUAUGGCUGGGAUCUGAGUGGCUGUCUUCAAAGGACUCUCGCUUAGAUGGACUAGCAGAAUCCAUCCAGGAGACUCUCCUCGUACGAUACGCUGUAAAGCUUAUUGAUGAGGAGUAAUGCUGUGCCCUCCUCAGAGACUGGCAGACCUUGAGCAGCGCGUGGGAGUGCAAGGUUGGUCAAGGAAUGACAACAUACACAGUCUCGUGCAGAGGAAGCCUCGUUACCCACACAACCCACAAGCUCCAUGUGGCCCACCCGGACAAUCUGGCACACAAGGCUGAUGCGGGGCCGGAUGAGGUCUGUGCUACUGAGGUCCUAAAGGGACAGAGAGCAUGCAAAAAGGAGAUGAUGCUGCAUCAUCCUGUCACCUUUGUUUCUCUUUUCAUUCGACAACAGAACACCGUCUCGAGCGUAUUUCCUAAUGCUGGAAUAGCAGAAUGACUCCCUCCCUCCCCCAUACCCAGCCAAGAACUACCAUGGCAUCAGAGAAAAAUGACUGUAUU